ensembl:lncRNA
AUUCCUCUCGCAUCUGCAGAUCAAAUAAUUGCGCCGUGCGGGGAGCGCUGCCCCACGGCCCCGAUACGGAGGGAAGGAGAGCGGCCGCCCCGGGAGCGGGGCUGUGGGAACCCCCCUAUGUGUGCAGCGUUACAGAUUGUAUCUCGUAUUUGUGCCGCGUCCAUCAGCAGGAGGAUGCCCUCCCUGCUGCUCUCCCUUAACGAAGCCGUCGCUGCUUUUCGCUGCUAUCCCCCCCACACCCUUCUCCCCAAACCAGGAGGGGGUUCCCAACCCUUUGGGGGUGCCCGGCUGCCUCCCCUCUUGUUUCCCUUUGCGUGGACCUAAUUGGUGUCGUUAUUUCAGCUGGGGCCGGCGGGGCUCUGUGCAUUCUGCCUGCCGCCCUCACCCUCGGUGUACAGGACUGGGGGGGGGGGGUGCCUAUCCAGCCUGCAGGAGCCCCCGGGUGCCCGCAUGGGGCUGCAGAAGCUGGUGAGGGCAUCAGAGCUGAGCAACCCCCCCUUCUUCCCCCCAUUGCAUUGCAAUAAUCAGCAUUGCACCCUAUGGGGGAUCCCGCUGUGGGGUCAGCUCCCAUCCUCACCCACAUCCUUUUCUGGCUGGCAAGCAGCAGUGGAUGCAAAGCUCUCCGUCGCCCUCGUAAAGCAGCCGGCACCCCAACGUGCAAAAGCAACACCGUAUGCGGGAAGACAACCUGUAUGAAUUAUAAAUCGCCUCGUAAAGCCCGAUUGCGGCUCCAAAACAACUCAGAACCGUGUGUGGAUGGGAUGCGGCAGCGCAGAGAUGGGGAAAUCCCGCCGGCCCCAGGACAAAUCCCCCCCUAGAGGUUGGGGUCCUGCAGCCGAGCCCCCGUCUCCCCUCCUGCCCCCCCCGGCCGCCCCUCGCUUGCUCUUUUCUCCCUCCCGCUACGCCCGGCCCAUAGAGAGCCUUAAUCUAUUUAUUUCGAGCCACUUCAUCCUCUCUCCAGCUUUUGUCCCGGCCUCAGCCUCCGGCUUUGUGGCAGGGCCGCUGAGGUUCUCAAAGCCCCUUCCCCUAUAGUUUGAGGUCUCCUUGCCUGCCUGAAUUACAAUGGAUAAAACAGGAUUACACUGACCCGAUCCCAUCGCGCCCUCCCUCCGGCUCUGCAAAGCCGCUCACAGAACUUUCCUCCGGCUCUGAGCAGCUGAGUCGGGCUCAGGAGCAGCACCAAGGGGCUGCGUUCCUAAACGGCGGAGGGACGGAGAGUUUGCGACGCUCCCAUCCCGUCAAUUAACAGAGGGAAAGGCGAACUCCGGGCUCGGGCUUUUCCGAGCGAUGCUGCGGCUGUGGUCUGAUAGCGUCUAUCAGAACGCUGCCACCCCGAAUGAGGGCUGAUUUUAAGGCACGCGGCUGUAUUCUUCUUUCCCCGUCGAUGUUGAGCUCUGAAGCCCACAACUGCUCUUUCUCCCCCUCCCCAAUUAUUUUCAUAUUUCAACAUUUCCAAAGCGGCAAUAAGUUCCUGUGAAAGAAGGGUAAUAGGAAGGCUCUCUAAGAGAAAUUGUUAAUUUGGGAUUUAUAAAGGACUUUCCUUAAUGAAUAAUAGUUGAGAUCGAUCUGUCUUCCUGCCUCGUUCUGCAAAGUAACAUUUGUAAAGCGAGCUGAUCCCAAUUACUCCCUCUAAUAACCGUCUCCGUUCACUGAGCGGUCUCCGAGGGACUGUGCAGAAAAGCCCCUCUCCCGUGGUGCUGCCUUUUUUGGGGUCCUCCAGCCCCUCAUGCCCCGUGUUCCCCUUCUCCCUGUGUGGCACAGCUCUCAGACCCUAUGGGAGGCAUGCUCGGUCCUGGCGCUGCACAGCCCUGUGGGGCUGCAGGGAGGGAUGCUGCAGCCAAGUGUGGGUUUGGCCACGCUGAGAGCGUUCUCCGGCCCCUUUUCAUCUCACCCCAUACUUUGGCAAAAUAAAUACCCCCCUUUGUAAUGCUUUCAUGUGGCCAGAGGGAGCUGAGAAGGGUGCUGGAGAUGGGGAAAAUCCCAUAUUUGUUCACCUGGCGUGAACCUCGGCACAGCAGCCGAUAAAUAAAUUGGAACCAUCUCCAGACCUGAUUAGCUUGCUAAUUAAGCUCAGUUACAGGGAAAUCUGCAGUCCAUCAGCCUGCCCGCUACCAGGUGGAUGUGCAGAGCAAUAGGCGAGGUAUGGAGGAAGGGCUGCACCAAAAUCUGCUUUCACGGUGCUCAGAGGAGCUCACCCAGAUGGGGCAGCUGACAGCCUCUGUGUCCCCAGGGCCACUCAUGCUUGUGCCAGGGGAGGUUCAGCUUGGAUGUUAGGAACAAUUUCUUCCCAGAAAGAGCAGUGCUGCAGUGGCACAGCUGCCCAGGGAGCGGUGGGGUCACCGUCCCUGGAGGUGUUCAGGAAGCAUGGGGACGUGGCACUGAGGGAUGUGGGCAGUGGGCCUGCUCCUCUGAUCCCUUUGGCUCUCCUCAUCCUCUCUUUGGCCAACAUAAGGAGUCUCCCUGGCUUAAAAACAAACAGAUCCAGAAAUGGAGGAGCGCAGAUUGGUCAGGGCAGUAUGCAAAUAAGUAAGUGCUAAUUGCUGGCAGCAGCGUUGCAUGUCAAGUGCAGUUAUUGUGACCGCAUUUAUUGGCCAAUUAAGGGCUUUACUGGACAUUAGGCGAGAUAAAUUACUGCCUGGUGGGUUUUUCCAGUCCUAUUGCUGAUACAAAGUGGUUUGUGGUUUUCCUACGGCACGUUCGGUGGUUUCCCCAGCAGUAAUUGCAUUUCCCUCAGACGCCGUGCAGACCCCUUCCUGGUAACUCACGCACUGCAAAGCUGUGUUCUGGGGGAAGUUCUUUACUCACAGGACAGUGAGGCCCCAGCACUGCUGCCCAGAGAGAUGUGGGUUACCCUGGAAGUGCCUGAGGCCACGGACAGGCUCUGCUCCUUGGGCAGUCUGAGCUGGUGGGGGGCAACAAGUAGCUCAUGGUGAGGAUCUCUGAUUGAUUUGAUCUCUACCUGCUCUGAUGUGACUGCAAGGGCUGCUCUGAAAGUAAUGCCUCCUGUGUUACGCUGUCGGCCCACGAUGUCAGAGGUGGAUGUUGGUGGUACGGCAGUAGAGGCUGAACCUUCCCACUGCAUGCCAUUACGUUUUGUUGCCGUGUGACAGACGACAGCAGAGGGGCAGGCUGACAGAAUGGUGUCUGACGUGGAAGUGCACAGGAAGCAAAGGUGUGUCACUGAAUUCCUCCGUGCAGAAAAAAAAUGGCACCCAGUGGCCACCAACGCUUGCUGAACGCUGAUGGAGACCAAACAGUGGAUGUUAACACGGUGAGGCGGUGGGUGGUGUGUGGCCAAAAAUGAGUAAGAAACAGCACAAUAGACAAGGGGAUGGUUUGAAAGGAGAGCUAACAGCAUGCAGUACCUCCGGUGUAGGAGUCUUUGGGCUCCGGAGCAGGUUUCUUGAGUGAUUGCUCCCAGGAUCCAUCAAAGCAAAGCCUUUGUAGGCAUGGCUGGAAACACACAGCAAGGCCUUACGGCAGUCUGGUCCCCACAGUAAUUACUGCUUUGUUC